rnacentral:rRNA from 1 species
AUUGAACGCUGGCGGCAUGCUUUACACAUGCAAGUCGAACGGUAACGCGGGGGCAACCCUGGCGACGAGUGGCGAACGGGUGAGUAAUACAUCGGAACGUGCCCAGUAGUGGGGGAUAGCUCGGCGAAAGCCGGAUUAAUACCGCAUACGACCUACGGGUGAAAGCGGGGGAUCGCAAGACCUCGCGCUAUUGGAGCGGCCGAUGGCAGAUUAGCUUGUUGGUGGGGUAAAAGCCUACCAAGGCUACGAUCUGUAGCUGGUCUGAGAGGACGACCAGCCACACUGGGACUGAGACACGGCCCAGACUCCUACGGGAGGCAGCAGUGGGGAAUUUUGGACAAUGGGCGCAAGCCUGAUCCAGCAAUGCCGCGUGUGUGAUGAAGGCCUUCGGGUUGUAAAGCACUUUUAGUGGGAACGAAACGGUCCGGGCCAAUACCCUGGACUACUGACGGUACCCGCAGAAUAAGCACCGGCUAACUACGUGCCAGCAGCCGCCGCGG